rnacentral:tRNA from 1 species
GCCGAGGUAGCUCAGCCUGGGAGAGCAUCCGGCUGAAGACCGGAGUGUCGUGUGUUCAAAUCACACCCUCGGCA